rnacentral:rRNA from 1 species
GUGCCAGCCGCCGCGGUAAUACCGGCAGCCCGAGUGAUGGCCGAUCUUAUUGGGCCUAAAGCGUCCGUAGCUGGCUGCGCAAGUCCGUCGGGAAAUCCUCGUGCUUAACACGUGGGCGACCGGCGGAAACUGCACAGCUUGGGACCGGAAGGCUCGAAGGGUACGUUCGGGGUAGGAGUGAAAUCCCGUAAUCCCGGACGGACUACCGAUGGCGAAAGCACUCUGAGAAGACGGCUUCGACAGUGAGGGACGAAAGCUCGGGUCUCAAACCGGAUUAGAUACCCCUGUAGUCC